GAACCACGUGUGCCUGUGACGCCAUCAGAGCAGGUCACGUGAUGGCCUAGCCUGGCUCUGGUUUCAGGUCUAACAAAGCAGGUCCUUGAGUAUAAGGAGUUGACACCUCUAGUCAUACAUUAUUCUUUUGGUCCCAAAGUACUGGGGCUUUGCAAAAGGAGACAUUGUGGAAGGAGCCGCUUGCAUUCUGAGUCUUUUAAAACGGAACAACAAAAAAAAAAUCUGGACUUAAUUCUGUGUUUCAAGUGGCUUAGCAACUCUGAACCCAGCGUCUUGGUGCAUCCUGCCAAUCCCACCAUUCGGAGAGUGGAAAGGAUCAGGAGUAUAAGGCUA
ensembl:antisense Gm12204 predicted gene 12204